GUUGUGUGCAAGUGGUAGGAGAGCGUUCUAUUUGCGUCGAAGGUAUACCGGUAAGGAGUGCUGGAGCGAAUAGAAGUGAGCAUGCAGGCAUGAGUAGCGAUAAUUAAUGUGAGAAUCAUUAACGCCGUAAACCCAAGGUUUCCUACGCGAUGCUCGUCAUCGUAGGGUUAGUCGGGUCCUAAGUCGAGUCCGAAAGGGGUAGACGAUGGCAAAUUGGUUAAUAUUCCAAUACCAACAUUAGUGUGCGAUGGAAGGACGCUUAGGGCUAAGGGGGCUAGCGGAUGGAAGUGCUAGUCUAAGGUCGUAGGAGGUUAUACAGGCAAAUCCGUAUAACAAUACUCCGAGAACUGAAAGGCUUUUUGAAGUCUUCGGAUGGAUAGAAGAACCCCUGAUGCCGUCGAGCCAAGAAAAGUUUCUAAGUUUAGCUAAUGUUGCCCGUACCGUAAACCGACACAGGUGGGUGGGAUGAGUAUUCUAAGGCGCGUGGAAGAACUCUCUUUAAGGAACUCUGCAAAAUAGCACCGUAUCUUCGGUAUAAGGUGUGGUUAGCCUUGUAUUAGGAUUUACUCCGAAAGCAAGGAAACUUACAACAAAGAGUCCCUCCCGACUGUUUACCAAAAACACAGCACUCUGCUAACUCGUAAGAGGAUGUAUAGGGUGUGACGCCUGCCCGGUGCUCGAAGGUUAAUUGAUGGGGUUAGCAUUAGCGAAGCUCUUGAUCGAAGCCCGAGUAAACGGCGGCCGUAACUAUAACGGUCCUAAGGUAGCGAAAUUCCUUGUCGGUUAAAUACCGACCUGCAUGAAUGGCGUAACGAGAUGGGAGCUGUCUCAAAGAGGGAUCCAGUGAAAUUGUAGUGGAGGUGAAAAUUCCUCCUACCCGCGGCAAGACGGAAAGACCCCGUGGACCUUUACUACAGCUUGACACUGCUACUUGGAUAAGAAUGUGCAGGAUAGGUGGGAGGCUUUGAGUAUAUGACGCCAGUUGUAUAUGAGCCAUUGUUGAGAUACCACUCUUUCUUAUUUGGGUAGCUAACCAGCUUGAGUUAUCCUCAAGUGGGACAAUGUCUGGUGGGUAGUUUGACUGGGGCGGUCGCCUCCCAAAUAAUAACGGAGGCUUACAAAGGUUGGCUCAGAACGGUUGGAAAUCGUUCGUAGAGUAUAAAGGUAUAAGCCAGCUUAACUGCAAGACAUACAAGUCAAGCAGAGACGAAAGUCGGUCUUAGUGAUCCGGUGGUUCUGUGUGGAAGGGCCAUCGCUCAAAGGAUAAAAGGUACCCCGGGGAUAACAGGCUGAUCUCCCCCAAGAGCUCACAUCGACGGGGAGGUUUGGCACCUCGAUGUCGGCUCAUCGCAUCCUGGGGCUGGAGCAGGUCCCAAGGGUAUGGCUGUUCGCCAUUUAAAGCGGUACGCGAGCUGGGUUCAGAACGUCGUGAGACAGUUCGGUCCCUAUCUGCCGUGGGCGUAAGAAGAUUGAAGAGAUUUGACCCUAGUACGAGAGGACCGGGUUGAACAAACCACUGGUGUAGCUGUUGUUCUGCCAAGAGCAUCGCAGCGUAGCUAAGUUUGGAAAGGAUAAACGCUGAAAGCAUCUAAGCGUGAAGCCAACUCUAAGAUGAAUCUUCUCUAAGCUCUCUAGAAGACUACUAGUUUGAUAGGCUGGGUGUGUAAUGGAUGAAAGUCCUUUAGCUGACCAGUACUAAUAGAGCGUUUGGCUUAUCUUUAAUAAAGCAU
rnacentral:rRNA from 1 species